AAAAAAAUCCCCUCGGUCUCUCGUCCCCGUCUCUCCUCCCGACGCAACGGCGACAGGCGACGGUGCCACCCGCGGGCGGGCUUCCCCUCUCUCUGUCCCUCUCCUCCAGCGUUGCGGCGUGCUGGGCGGGCAAGGGCCAAACCGUGGCCUCCUCUUCACGCGGUGGCGGGGUGUUGGCGCCCUCCGCGGGCGCUCGACGAAACCCUAGGUACCUGUUCCUCACCGCCGGCGGUGGCGGCGAACCUCACCGGCUUCAUCCCACCGGUGCCCCCUCCUGAAACCUCUCGAAUCCUCUUUCCCUUUUUCUCUACUCUCGGCUUCCUCUUUCUCUCCCUGUCUCGUCACAUGACGACGUACCGGCCGGCUCCUCUGAGGCGGCGGCGCGGUGUGCAGGGUGGCCUCCCCCCAGAGGGGCGCCGGGGCCCUGGCACAGCAGGCCCCAUGAGGACGGCGGUGGCAGGGGGAAACCCUAGGUCACCUACCGGUGCGGUGGCCCCGACGCAGGUGGUGCGGACGCGUGCUCGACGGUGUGCAAACGGGGUUCCACGGUCGUAGCGGCGACGCAGGGCCAUCCCUCGUCCUUGCCUCUCUCUUGAUGCGCAAAAGUCCAGCCAUCAGGGAGACAGAAUGUCCAAAUGAUUCAGUUAUCCAGUCCCUUUUAUCAGCAGUGGAUUCAUUUGGUGCUGACUACAAGCUUCUUGGGAUACAGGCUUCCAGGGAGCCAACGACAUGAUAUAAGAAACUUUUCAUGCUUCCAUCGGCCCAAUUCUACAAUGGCAUUGUCAGGUUUUAUGUGUCUCACAAAACUCAUUCGCGUUCCUGCACUCAAAUUACAGUUCAGUGUACCUAGAGCAACUUUGUUUUUACUUUCCAGUUAGCCUUUCACAACUAGACUUAACAGAUGGAAACAUGCGGACAAAGUAAUUUAGUUGGAGCUAUUGGAAUUUACGGCUCAUAGUACCUGUUCUCUUUGCGUUUCCUUACAUCUAAUUCUCAUGGAUUUGCCAUGUUUAAUUUAAUUCUAGGAGCAAAGGAAGGGAUUACACAGGAUGGCCAUGCGGUUCUUUUUUCUUAAUGUCCUAAUUUAGCUAUUAGUUUGCAGAUUAUCAUUAAUAUACCUGGCCAAAGCAGUGGAAACAACAAGCCCAUACCAACCAAGCUCUUGAAAAUGCUUUGACUCUCCAAAAUUCUUGGAAUGACUUAUAAUUUGGAACAGAGGGAAUACUAUAUAACCAAAUAAUAAUACUACCUAUAUAUGGCACCCAGCGUGUAAACAUAUUUGACCAUAAAUGUAGUGGAUAUAGAAUGGAUGGUUAGUACCUACUAUAAAAUUUAUCACUACCGGUUUCUGAAAGAUAUAUUUAUGUACUCCUAUUGAUCGUUUAGUACUCUAGCCAAAUUCCUUUUGACUUUUCAUGCUCAUAGGUCAUCCAACCUUGUAUUUAUUUUUGGUGCUCCAUCUUCCUAUCUAUUAAUUGAUAUCGGUUUGUUGCCAACCCUUCUCUGGCACUAAUCGGUUUAAGAGUUUCCCCAACCAUAUCGAAGACAUCUAUAUGUUCCUAUCCUCACUUCACCAUCAUAAAUGAAUUAUACAGGUGUCGUAAGAGUUCUUGCAAGCUGAAGCUUUUGCAAACCUCAGUAAUGCUAUUGGAAUCUUGGUCAUCUCCAGAGAAUAUUCAGCCUCAAGCAUUUUGCCUAUGUUUUUAAUAAUAUUCAUGUCCUUGCAAAAAAAAGUUACUUUGACUGCUCUUCAGUUCAAAAUUGUGUUACACGCACUGCUCCUUGUGUAAAAGGAGACCAGCUAAGCACUCUCUUCGAGAAUUAAAAAAUGGCUUCCAAGACCUGAUGCUUGUGUUCAAGGAAACCAGCUACAGGAAGGCUCACAUACUUUCCUUCCGAGGAUGCUGUGUCUGAAGGUGGUGAGCUUCUGAACUAAACUUUCAGCCUAUGCGGACAACAUCUCUAUGUCGAAAUACCUGUACAAAAGUGUUGUAGAUCUGUCCGGUAUUUUUUUUGGCAAACAUCUGUCCAUUAUUCUGACAGAUACUACUACAUCGAUUAUAUUCACUAAAAAAGUUGUUUCUUCGGGGCAUCAGCUGAAAAGACCAUAGGGUGCUAAGUGGAAGCCAGAACAUACAACUCUCUACGGGAGGUCAUAUUCCCUUUGUUGAAUUUUUGUUCCAGCCUGAACAAGAGCCGGACCAAUUUAGUGGUGGCUAUUAUGGGUAUCCCCAAGGAUACCAUCCAUAUGGUUGCUUGCCCCCUCAAAAUUCUUCCAUAUACAUCUACACAACAAUAUCCAAGGUAUCAAAGUUACCAACAGCAGCCAGCAUUGCAGCCCCCACCAUAACAGUAGGAGUAAUAAUGGCCUGAGAGGAUCGUUUGCAAACUGCCCCCAGGGGCAGCAUCUUUGGUGCAUCAGCACGACAAUCUCCUUACUUUUGCACUGCUAUAUGUAUGUUCCGUAGAAUGUGUUCAGUUAUGUCCAGGGAAACAAUGCUAUCUAUGAUUCUGUCUAUUGUACAACAGCACCAUGCACAAAGCCACAUUUACAUGUACACAUAUACAAAUCCUGUGGCAUCGCACGUACUGUAUGCCUAUGCUUCAUUACUCCCUAAGACCAUAUGUAAUAUAUUCUUAUUUGUUGUAAGACCAA